GUCAGUCCCAGACAGCACCCAGCAUGGACAUGAGGACCCCUGCUCAGCUCCUGGGGCUCCUGCUGCUCUGGCUCCCAGAAGCCAUGUGUGACAUCCAGUUGACCCAGUCUCCAGCAUCACUGUCUGUGUCUCCAGGAGGCACAGCAACCAUCACCUGUAGGGCCAGUGAGGACACUGGGUAUGGUUUAGCCUGGUACCAGCAGCAACCAGGGAAAGCCCCUAAACUCCUGAUCUAUGCUGCAAAUGAUUUGCAAACUGGGGUCCCAUCGAGGUUCAGUGGCAGUGGAUCUGGAACAGAGUUUACUCUCACCAUCAGCAGCCUGCAGCCUGAAGAUGUUGCCACUUAUUACUGUAUGCAGCAUUAUCGUGAUCCUCCCACAUUCGGUGGCCACAGGUUCAGUGGCAGUGGAUCUGGGACAGAGUUCACUCUCACCAUCAGCAGCCUACAGCCUGAAGAUGUUGCCACUUAUUACUGUCAACAGUAUUAUGUUUACCUUCCCACAGUGUGA